rnacentral:misc_RNA from 1 species
CGCACAUUGCACCUCUUGGUAAUCCUUGAGGUAUAUCUGUUCGAGCGCCGUUUAAAUAUUAAGACUAUGUCUUUUGUUGAUAUUUCUCACGUUAUUGUGAUUUAUCUAAAUAUUUUGGCGUAUUUUAAUAGCUUCAAAAAACGCAGUGAAAUGUGUUUAUUGACUAUUAUUAAACUUGCCUGUUCUUUAUUAUCAUUAAACAUGGCCUCGGAUCAGAUAGGGAUACCCGCUGAACUUAA